AGGGUUCGAUUCUGGCUCAGGAUGAACGCUAGCUACAGGCUUAACACAUGCAAGUCGAGGGGCAGCAUGAUUCUAGCUUGCUAGAAUUGAUGGCGACCGGCGCACGGGUGCGUAACACGUAUCCAAUCUACCCAUGGCUCAGGGAUAGCCUUUCGAAAGAAAGAUUAAUACCUGAUGGCCUUACCAAAGGACAUCCUUUAGUAAGUAAAGAUUUAUCGGCGAUGGAUGGGGAUGCGUCCGAUUAGCUAGUUGGCGGGGUAACGGCCCACCAAGGCGACGAUCGGUAGGGUUCUGAGAGGAAGGUCCCCCACACUGGAACUGAGACACGGUCCAGACUCCUACGGGAGGCAGCAGUGAGGAAUAUUGGUCAAUGGGCGAAGGCCUGAACCAGCCAAGUAGCGUGAGGGAUGACGGCCCUACGGGUUGUAAACCUCUUUUGUUCGGGAAUAAAGUCACCCACGCGUGGGUGUUUGUAUGUACCUUACGAAUAAGCAUCGGCUAAUUCCGUGCCAGCAGCUGC
rnacentral:rRNA from 1 species